GGCCGUGUGGCGAAAUGGCAUCGCGUCUGACUACGAUGAGUUGUUUCAUCAUUCAUCAGGAGAUUGCAGGUUCGACCCCUGUCUCGGUCA